AAGUCGUAACAAGGUUUCCGUAGGUGAACCUGCGGAAGGAUCAUUACAGAGUUGUCGACACGAGUUGUUGCUGGUCCUCAAAUGGGGGCAUGUGCACGCUCUGUUCACACAUCCACCAUCCACCAUGCUGCGCACCCCUCUGUAGUUCUAUGGGUCUGGGGACGCACGUCUUCCUCCCGUGGUUUCUAUGUCUUUACACAUACACCGUAGCGAAGUCUUAUGGAAUGUACUCUGCGUUUAACGCGAUAUAAUACAA
rnacentral:misc_RNA from 1 species